UCAGAUAAGCCUGGAGCUGCCGUUUCUUCUCCCCUCACAACGUCCCAUCCCCAUCCCCAUCGCCGGCGCCCCUCCCUCCCCAUAAUCGGCGCCCUCUCUCCCAUCCCCAUCCCCGUCGCCAGCGCCCCUUCCCUCCCUGUCGUCGGCGCGACGAGCCGCGAUCUUGAGGCGCGGGAGGAGAAGAAACACGCGCGCAGAGAGGGCGAUUUGGGGAUGAAGCGCGCCGGGAGGAACCGCGCGGCGCAGACACGCCUCAGCAAUGCGCCGUGCCCUCGUUUCUCCACGCCACCCCACCUCGAUAGCAUUGAAGAACGGGUGACCAAGUUUGGUCACAUGCGCUCGCGAUUUGUGGGCCAACAGUAG
rnacentral:lncRNA from 1 species